CUCGGGCCUCUCCUGCAGCAGCUUUUGUUGUUGGUUUUUUAAAUCCAGGGAGAAGUGAAAUGAAGCUCUAGCUGUGAACCCCAACUACCUGAGUGAGGAACUAGACGGCUCCUUACGCUGUCCAGCUCCUCUGCAGAAAAGGCAGUGUCAAAUAGUCGUCAAGGCCGUGGGCUUUGAGGCUGCAGCUGCCUGGAUUUGUAUCCCGACUUCUCCACUUACUGCGUUGGUGUGAACGAGGACACGGGGAGGUGCACCGAGAGUGGUCUGUGGAUUGGGCGCAUGAGUACUUCUUCCACUGGCAAAGGCUUUGAUCACAAGGCACACACCCUCAGAAUGCAGCUGUGACCCGAGCUUCACAUCCCCUGGAAGAUUCUAUCUUACAGGUUCAAGACAUCCUUUAGAUGCAGUAACUCAUUGGAUGAUUGGAGAUUUUGAGUAUGUAGGUAGGUGGGGCUUGCUGACUUUGUGCUUUACUACAGGGUGAUCGGGGUGGUCUCAGGGCCACUUACAAUGGUGCUCUCUAUGAAGACACCAGAUUGAAGGGGGCUCAAAUGCAGCCCUCACUUACUUACCAGUUCAUGAACCCUGGUCAGAGGCUAUGCGUCUUCCUGAAAGAAGGGAUGCCUUUUUCCUCCCACAAAACUGUGAUCUGCUUUUCAAGUCUGACAUUAGCAAAGCUUCAUCUACCCAGAGAAAAGAACGUUUUCCAAUCCACACAACAGUUUCCCACAGGCCAGCAGAGGCCCUGGGAAGGCUGGCUGAAGUUCUCCCCAGGUCAGUAUCUUGAUAGCUUUUGUGUUGAGCUGGUCAAAUUUUGCAAGAAAGAGCUUUUCAAACUCUAGCCAGCAGAGUAAAGGAUUGGCUUUGAGAGAUUUGUGAGUGAGUAGGACAGAGAGCUCCAUUCAAUGGAGCUUAAUCUCCAUCUUGGGUAGAGUAGCCACACCUCACAGUGGCUGCUGUGCUCCAGCCCAGAGACACUGUUUUACCCUCUAUAGACAGAUGCUGGGCUGCGGACAGCAGUGACUCUGUGGGGUGGAGUUGGACAAGGGGCUCUAGCUUUCACCCAGUCUUCCUUAUUGGAGCCUGCACCCUCAACCCUACCAAACAGUUCCAGAGGUACUUAGUACUACUAGUUCCUGCUAUUUUGAGGCUUCCACAUUGCGAAUUGGAUUUGGUCUCAGUUUUCCCCACUUUUGACUUUGCAUUCUGAUUCCUCAGAUCUGCUGGGCAGUUGCCACUCUCCCAUUGAAUUUCAGCAUAUACAAAUUUAUUACAUUCUCCUCUGCAAUUCUCCAGUUUUCCUUGUCCCUGUUGGUUUGUUGUUUUUUUUAAGAAGUUUCUUGAAUGUAAUGUUAGUAGAUUUCAGAAGGAAGAAAAAUUAAACUCAGGAGUUUAAUUUGCUAUCUAUCUUACUUGGAAUAGUCCAUAGGGUUCCUCCAGACUCUAAGAAAAAUGCCCUCUUGUUAUCAAUUCUGGAUAC